GCCGGGAUAGCUCAGUGGAAGAGCAACUGUUUUGUAAACAGUAGGCCGGGGGUUCGAAUCCCUCACCCGGCACCA
rnacentral:tRNA from 1 species